UUUUUUUUUCGGUCAGUAGCUCAUCGAGUUCGCGAGGCUCUCCAGUCGAGGUUUCCGAUCAAAGCUCUAGUUUAUGGUUUUUCUUGCUCAAACAUUGCUCAAUAGUGAUAUUCAAAGAAGGAUUGGAAAUUAUUGAUGAACAACCUCAAGAACUCUAUAUAAGGACAUGUUAUUUAAUCAUCUCAAUCACAAUCUUUUGAAUCCAUGGCAAAGAAGCUGUAUUUGAUUUUCAGAUUUGCGCGCCUGUGAGAAUAUUUUUUUAUGUUGCUGUUGGAUUAUCAAAAGGACAAGCCGCUUGAUUCUGGUGAAAGUAGACUUCCAAGGCUACGACAUAUCCACAAAUCAAAGAGAAACUCCUUCUGGAUUGAUGGGAAUUAAUUUUAAAGUUGCGCUCCAAAUCUACAUUUUCUUCUCUCAAAGAUCAAUGCGUCCCCACCAAAAACUCCAUAUCUUGAUAUUGGAGUGUCCAAAUGACGAGCGGCUUGAUUAUUUAGAGAGAAGACAUCAAAGGCUAUGACAUAACUGAAAAUACGAAUGAAAAUCCAUCUAUAUUGAUGGGAAUUAAUUUUUCAAAUUGAACUCU